GACGUAGGGGGCGAGCGUUGUCCGGAUUUAUUGGGCGUAAAGAGCUCGUAGGCGGCUCAGAAAGUCGGGUGUGAAACCUCCAGGCUCAACCUGGAGACGCCACCUGAUACCGCUGUGGCUAGAGUCCGGUAGGGGAACACGGAAUACCCGGUGUAGCGGUGAAAUGCUUAGAUAUCGGGUGGAACACCAGUGGCGAAGGCGGUGUUCUGGGCCGGAACUGACGCUGAGGAGCGAAAGCGUGGGUAGCAAACAGG
rnacentral:rRNA from 1 species